AUUCCCCUGUGGUCCCCCCAAUCAUCAUAGAACCACCGCCAACGGUGUCAACAGCUGGAGGACCAGAAAGUGUUCCUGGAGAUUGGAAUCACAGACAAAUUUAAAAUUUAAGUUUGAUGGGUUCAAUUUUUAAGGAGUAUAUAUGUUCUGUGUGAAAAAAAUGGUGGCUACCUGGAAUGGGCAUAAUUGGGACACAGUGAUGAAGAUGCGCCAAGGGGUUGGCGGACUGGAUGUCAGCGUCACAGGAGGCACAAAAUGAGGCAGCAUCUGCCUUGCAAAGAAAGGCUGCAGGAGCAUGCUCCAAGGCCUCACAAACCCAGACACGCUUGUGACGAGAAGCCACCAGACUUGCUGCAUGUAUGCCGGCGUCACAGCCCGUACACAAAUAGGCGGAAUCUGCCCAACAGUAAACAGUAGAUGCAGCAGAAUGGCAACUGUCACACAUCCUUGCCCAGUUGUUGCUGCUGCCAUCAAAACCCCCACUAUUCUCCUUUUUAAACAUUGAACUAAUUUUGACUUAACCUUUUUCUUUCUUAUUGCUUUCUAUUUUCUGCUGUACUGCAAAUACUGAAGGUGUGCUGUAGACUUAUGGGGCACUGUGAUAUGUGAAGGAGAAGGAGGGAAAUAACAGAUGCAACUACCAAGUGGGAAGAGCAUCCACGAGCGACACGUGGCUUAGAGUUGAUGGGUAGGAAAAAUUGUUUCAUUAUCUUGUGGUGGCUGGUGAUUCUGAUGAGGCCAGAUGGUGGGGUCAGGCAACAAGGAGGUUGAAACAAGUGGGUCCAGGGGCCUUUGGCUCUUUGGAUCAAUCGAGGUGGGAGAGCUUUGUCCAAGAGAAUGCAUUUUAAGGGGAGACUACACUGACACACUAUGGUAUGAUAUUAAAAAAUUCGGCCCAAUUUUGGUUUUAAAAAUACUAUGUCAAUAUCAUAUCAAAUUAAUUUGGUAUCAUUUGGUAUUUUUUUUAGUUCGGUUUUAGCAUGUUGCGGUGUGUUAGUCGGUAAUCACAGUUUAUUUGUCUUCGGCUUACAUAUACUCAUAUAAAAGAGGAUUAUGAUUUCAGAUUUUCAAGAAACAUCUCAAAUAUAUCUACUAACACCUUAUACAUGUAGAGAUAUUGAAAAGAAAUUACAAUCAUUUCUUUUUGUUAAUGAAUUACAUAAAAAGUACAUUUCAAUUAAGAUAGAGUGUCAUUCAAAGUUUCAACGUCUGUUAAGUUGCUCUUGCCUUUUUUGAAUUGGCUAUGCUGAAAGUGAGAUCGUUUUGUUCUACCGCUUAGUAGCAACACUCUUUCUACCGGCCGGCUUGGCUUAGAAAGAGAAGUAGCAUUUUACAAACAACGUACUAAUGCUAGAUUAUAUUUGUUAGUAUUUUAAUAAUGUAUAUGAAUUGAAGGGGAGCCUUGGAGUAACUGGUAAAGUUGCUUCCAUGUGACCAGGAGGUCACGGGUUCAAGCCUUGGAAACAGCCUCUGGCAGAAAUGUAAGGUAAGACUGCGUACGAUACACCCUUGUGGUGGGGUCCUUCCCCGGACACCGCGCAUAGUGGUAGCUUUAGUGCACCAAAUUGCCCUUUUUUUUAAUUUGGUAUUUCAAUAAUUUUUCCAUAAAUACUGAAUACGGUACCAAUUACCCAUUCUUUAAAAAUAUAUACCAAAUAUCAUAAUACAAAAACUGCGGGAUCAAAAAUUUCAGAUUUGAUAUCUGACGUACAAUACCAACCCCUAGUCACUGUAAGUAUUGAAGUUAAAUCGGUGCAAAUUGCACAAUGGCAUAUACAAGAUUCUAUAUAAAUAGUAUCGGUCUAUUGUUGGGUUUUUUGUAGCAUGAAUGAGAAAUGAAGAGGUGUUUCCCUGAAGAGACUCAAGGAGAAAUAAUGCAAUUUGAGCUGUCUUUUCACAUUGAAUAGGUUGUGAUUUUUCCGAUAAGGCACAAUAGCACUUGUUCAUACUACCCUUCGCUGGCAAUAAAUUCAGAGGACUAGCCCCAGUUAUGGACAUGAAUUUCUGCACUUCUACAUAUUUUCUGACAAACAAAAUUGAGCCUUUGUGUGGUUCAUGACUAUCUUCAAGUUCGACGAAGUUAUUGGGAUUUGAGAUACCGCUACUCCAACACCUCAGGUACAAUGAGGGGAUUAAAUAUCUUAAUGAUACACAAUGAACGAUCUUUUCACAUUGAAUGGGUUGUGACUUUUCCGAUAAGGCACAAUAGCACUUGUUAACAAUACCCUUCGUUGGCAAUAAAUUCAAAGGACUAGCCCCAGUUAUGGACAUUGAAUUUCUGCACUUCUACUUAUUUUCUUACAAACAAAAUUGAGCCUUUGUGUGGUUCAUGUCCAUCUUCAAGUUCUAUGAAGUUAUUGGCAUUUGAGAUACCACUACUCCAACACCUCAGGUACAAUGAGGGGACUAAAUUCCUUAAGUAUACACCAUGAAUAUUGUGGGCUCAAUAAUUACAGUUCUGUAUUUUUCAUUAAAUUGCUUUUCAGAUUAUUUCGUAUAUUUUGGUUUACUGUUUUGAACAUAUGUUACUAACAGCUACUGUUAGGGUUUAACUUAUAAGUGUACCUGAAUUUGAUACGUGAUGGUUUCCAGGAUUUAGUUCUUAUGCUGAAUAUGUUUUCUUUUGAUAAAGAAUACAAGUUUACUAUGGGUACACAUAUUUUUAGAAAUGAUAUAUAUAAAGGGCCAAAUGCAUAUUAGGUAGAGCAGUGUCAUCCGACACCGAUUUGUCAAAAUUUUGUUACUAAAUACACAUAUACAAUAAAUUUGAAAUGCUUAGUCAAUUUUACCUCUUAAUGCUACUGUUGGAUAAAAUCGAUGAUAUGGCAUGAAAGAAUCUUUGUCGUGUGGCUGUCAACCAGAUCAAAAAAGUAAUGAUGUAAAGCAAAUAGCAUUGCAGAAAUAGAUACAUAAAGUCCUAAGGAAUUUAUGAGCUGUGUAAAAAGUGCUGAGUUUCAGGCAUUCAUCGAAUGGAAGAGAAGAAAUAGGUACUAAAGUGCCAUGGAUCAAGAGGGACCUCAAACUUGAAAGGCUUAGCAAGGCUCUGGUGACUUCUGUGGGACAUACAGGUCCACAAUUUCAAUGUUCUUGCUGAGGUAGAAUCUACUCUUUUCACCUUUAUGGUAGGACUCUUCACCCACAGAAGUUUACAAACUCUACAUUGUCUUUUAACUAUAUGCUUUAAUAUAUUGGUCUGCAUUGGCCUCUGAAUGCAUUCGACAGUCAACUGAUACAAUCUAAGAUGAAACAUUUUAUUAAAAUCUUGCCUACGCCUAUGUGUGCACUUCCUUCGUUCACAGAUUAUGAAAAUUAAUGGACGGUAAAAUCAUCUUUAGUCAAUUUGAUUUGCUUGUGUCCCUUACUGUCGAGGAGUUGGAAUAACAACCUUGGGUACCAAGGUACAAAUCCUAACAGAGGUGGCAGUACGUGAUUUUUUCGCAUCUCCCUAAAUCUCGGUAGAAAAAAAUGUCUGAUACUUGUGCUGGUUGGACAUAACAGGCACCUGGUGACUUAAUCAAGUUGCGUAGCCUGGCAUCACCACAUAAAGCACAAUUGCGACUAGUAAACUAGCACAAAAUUUAGUUGUUCACUGACAACAAUAAGAUUGUUGUAUCUGGACAUUGCUGUGUAGUCAACCAGCAAGGAAAUUUGAUAUUUUCACAUUUAAUUAGAAAAUCACUGAAAAUUGUUUUGUUUUAGUUAAUAAUUUGUUAUAAGUAAAUCACAAGAAUUGCUCCAUGGUGGAUGGCUUGGCAUUUAUGAACUAUGGAAAAAGUGGUGAGGCGCAGCAAAUGGCAGAGCAGAAAUAGAUAGCUAAAGUUCCAUUGGAAUCUGAGGGACCUCAAACUUAAAAGGCUUAGCUGUGCUCAGGUGACUUAUGUGUAACCUACUCUUUUCACUUUUUCUCAGGACUUUACCUCCAAAAAUACUAAGUUAUAAGCAUAGGAAUCAGAAGAAUUGCUCCAUGGUGGAUUGCUUGGCAUUUAAGAGCUGUCAAAAAAGUGCUGAGGCUCAACAAAUGUCAGAGAAGAAAUAGAUACGUAAAGUACCCAUGAAUAGGUGGGACCUCAAACUUGAGGCUUAGCCAUACUCUGGUUACUUCUGUGGAACAUAACUGCAGGUCCAGGAUAACUCCAAUGUUCUUGCUGAGAUAGAAUCUACUCUUUUCCCUUUUUCUUAAGACUCUUGAUCCACAAAAGUAUAAAGUAAAGUGCUACUGUCUUUUAAACCAUAUCUAAGAAUAGUGGUCCCUUUUGCCGGGGGUACUGCAUUUCACCGAUGCAGGUUCAGUUAUCCUGGACGACAGACUUCUACGUUAACGGCUUGCACGUUUAUCUUCCAGGUGCAAACUAUGACCCUCAACUGAUACUAUCUAAAAUGAGGUGUUUUUAUUGAAUUCUUGCUUAAGCCUUAUGUGUGGGAUUAUUUGGUCAUAACUUAACUUUAUACGUUAAACAGCGACCAAUAAAAUUAUCUUUAGCUAAGUUGAAGAGUUGGGAUAACAACCUUGGGAACUAAGGUUCAAAUUCCAGCAGAGACGCCAUUACACAAAAUUUUCCAAUUUUCUUAAAUCUUGAUGGGUGAAUAAUUUUGACGUCCAUGCUGGUGGGAAGUAGCGAGGGAAUCGAGCUCCUUCGGUGGAAAAAUUACAUUGUAUAUACAAGGUUAAAUUAUUUUUUUAUAUAUAUAUAGUGGAUGUUGAAUUCCUUGGCUUCCUUGUGUAUUUAUUUCUUCUUACUUUUGAACCCUCUUAGUGGAAAUCCUAGCUGAGCCACUAAGUUGAGCAUUUUGAACAUCAUUUUUUUUUUGUGUGUGUAUAUAUGAUAUAAUCUCAAGCAGAAAUCUUGCACGAAAUUAGUUGUUCACAGAAGAAAUAAGAUUACUAUAUCUGGAUUUUGUUGUGGAAUCAACCAGCAAUGCAGUUUGAUGUUUUCAAAUUGAAUUAGGAAACCGCUUACGGUUGUUUUGUUGCUUUAAUAAUUUUAUUGCAUUAGAAUAACUAGAAUUGCUCCAUGGUGGAUUGCUUGGCUUUUAUGAGCUGGGGAAAAAGUGCUGAUGUUCAGCAAAUGGCAUCGCAGAAAUAGAUAGCUAAAGUAACCACGGAAUCGGAGGGACCUGAUCCAACUUGAAAGGCUCAGGAAUAACUCAAACAAUCUAAGUUGUUUGUCCGUUUCUCUGGGAGGGAAUAAUAUUGGCCGUGACACAUUGAUGAUUAUUCCUUUUCCUUGCUAGUGAGUUGUGAGGUGGUUAAAGGUUCUUCUACUCAACGAAUAGCAGUGCAGAAUUGGAUACUAAAAGUACCCAAUUACCAAAAAGGACCUAAAAGUGAACGUCUAAGGCAAUCUUGGAUGAAAUUCCUUAGCCACAAAGUUUUUACCUCCUUACACUUUCAUCUUAUUCCUCAAUAAGCCGGAACGUUAAUUUUUCAAUGACUGCUUCACAUCAAAAAAGUUAAUUUUUCAAUGACUGCUUCACAUCAAAAAAGGUAAAAAUGCAAUAUGUUUUCCUUCUGCGUCGUAUUCAAUCUAUUGCAUAUGUUGAAAACCUGGUAUCAGCUCAAGACUAAUAAAAGGACGCGUUUUGAUUACUAAUGCUAUUGAGACCAUGGAAUACCUCCUCGUAUUAUGUUUCAUGAUUUACUGUGACUGGAAAUCCAGUGAACUGGAUCACAUGGAUUGCUAAAGAUAGAUAAGCAACCUAUUAGCCGUGCAGACAAGUAUGAAGAUAUCAGCAAUUAUGUUAUUGAUGGUAUUUCUUAGUGGUAAACUGUUUUGGUAAAUAGAAUAGUGCAGAAAUAACUGACCCAAAUAAUAUUUGUCGUGACACAUUGAUAAGUAUUCUUUUUCUUUGCUAGUGAGUUGCGAGGUGGAUAAAGGUUCUUCUGCUCAACAAAUAGCAGUGCAGAAUUGGAUACUAAAAGUACCCAAUGAUCAAAAAGGACCUAAAAGUGAGCGUCCAAGCCAUUCUUGGAUAAAAUUUCUUAGCCACAAAGUUCUUACCUCUUUAAACUUUUCUCUUAUUCCUCGAUAAGCUGGAACUUGCCUUCUUAUGGUUUCAGUGAAUAUUUCACAUUAAUAAAGGUAAAAGUGCUAUAUGCUUUCCUUCUGUUUAAGACUGAUAAAAGGACUUUUUUUUUUGGAUAACCUUGGUGUCUGGGCCAUCUUGCGCGCAUCUCGAUUAAUUUCAUGGGAUACCUGCCACCUCCCACCAGUAAUAUGUACCUGGUAACUCUGUCCACCAAGGUUAGAACAGAUGGUGAAAAUACAAUGAAUUGGAUCACAUUGUCUUUUGAUUAUUUAAACUGUUGAGGCCAUGGAAUACCUCCUCGUCUUGUGCUUCACUGUUUAGUUUGAUUGGAAAUCCAAUGAAUUAGAUCACAGGGGUUGCUAAAGAUAGAUUAUCAAAUUUUGAGCCUACAAACAAGUAUGACGAGAUUAGCAAUUAUCUUUAUUGAUAUUUUUUAUUGGUAAACUGUUUUGGUAGUAAAUAGAGUAGUGCAGAAAUAACUGGGCCAAAUAAGUCAUGUCUACUUGAUGUAGAAGGUACAUAUUUUGGGGCUUGUUUGUAAAGCAGUUGUAUAAACACCUUUUUCCUUUUGAUUUCUGUUAAACAAAAGUAUUCUGCAGAUUCUGCGAUGGAACUAGCUGCAGGAACUUGUUAAUACCAGGGUGGUGUUGGAUUAUGUGGCAGUUUGUUAAAAGCUCUCAUGAGGCAUGCAUAAACCUCGAAGCUAGAUGCAUUGCAGGCUUGGUGCUCUGUGUUGAUUAGGCAGUUAUUUUGCUUAUGAGGUGCUUAUGGAGUAUCAUUUUCUGCAAAAGUAUUGCAUCAGUGCUUUCCUUGGAGAAGUGGACCUUUUAUUCUUUAUCUUCAGUGAUGGAACAUUCAUUAUACUGAAGGAGAAUCUGGACCAAAAGCAGCUAUUGAAGAAUAUUAUGUGUCAUUCCUAAAGAGUAUGUUCAAACAAAAAGAUGACAGUGGAAAGCAGAAAGCAAAACUGAGCUUCAAUCAUAUUGCACCAGCACACAAUGUCAUACCACUGAGCAUCCAGAGGUCGUCGGUAAUAGCGCUUUUCUCGUUACUUGUGGCUGCACUGAGUUCGUUUUUGAUGUGAAAAAGUUAACUGCAGUCGAUUCUUCCUUUCUCUUUUCUUUUUCCUUUUAGGCAUCCAGUAUCUAUAUAUGUGUCUGGUAGGUCCACUAAGGAGGUAACUGUUUCGUACUAAAAGGUUUUCCAUCAACGUGAGACCUCUGGUUAAGGUU